UAAUGUCAUUUCGGUUUGAGUUUUUUAUUUUAUGCUAUACAUUUUUGAGCGCUCAGCAAAUGUAUCCAUUGAUCCUUUCUUUCUGCACAGGUCUUUACAUUGAUAUAUUCUAUCAAAAUUUGUACUCUUCUAAUAAGAGGGCUCUGCUAUUUUUUGAGGGAUUUUCAGAGACUUCUGCAAUUAUCUGGGGCGCGUAUUAUUACUGCUGUAGCAAGUGGGCUCUGCUAUCUUUAGCGGAGUUUUCAGAGGCUUCUACAAUUAUCUGGGGUGUGUUGUUGAAGAGGAAAUAUUACUACUGUUGUAUCUGGCAUCUCGGUCUCACUGUGCAGAUGUGAACGACAGGCUGGACAAUGAAACCAAAAUAUUUACUCAUGACGAGCAGAAAACAGUUAAUGUGCAAAGAGUCGAUCAUUGGGGUCAGAUUAUCAGGAAGAGCUUUGUCAACUGCCUAAAUUUAUUACUAGAAUUGGUGAUGAAUAUUCACUGGGUUGCACAUCCAUUUUCUCUCUUUGUAAAGAUCUGAAUGAUAGUUUGGACCAUGAUACCAAAAUAUAUACACACAAUUAGCAGACAACAGUCGAUAUGCAAAGAUUGGAUCAUUUGGGUCAGGAAAAGCAUUGUCAACAAAGUAAAGUUGUUACCAGAAAUGUUGAUGAAGAAUCCUUACAUUGCACAUCCAACCUUUCUCCUUGUUCGGUAAGUUUUCUCCUGGUCAUGAGGAGAGGUCAAUUCAUGUUGAAGGAGUAGACCUUUUGUCUCAGGAGAAAGAGAUAUACAUGAGAGAUCAGGAAGAAAAUGAUAUUGAUCCAGCACUAUUAUUAUCUUGUGAAAGUCUGAAAAAUCACCAUGAUAAUGAUAAGAAUAGCCAGAGGCACAUUGACAUUGAUGACAGAAAAGGUUUGUUUGCAAUGGAAAUGGUUAUAGAUGAUGAAACAGUGAAACAUGAUCAACCAUGCAACCAACCACCAUUUUGCAGAGGAAAUGACAAGGAAAUUGACAUUGAUGACAAAAAAGAUUUGUUUGAAAAGGAAAUGGCUAUAGAUGAUGAAACAGUGAAACAUGAUCAACCAUGCAACAAACUGCCAUCUUGCAGAGGAAAUGAAGUUAAGAAAAGUAUGGUCAAGAUUCAGAGAGCUCAAGUUUCUAACAAGUCUCCUUCAUUUCAGCUUUUUGUCUGCCAUGUUAAUCGGAUUAAGCGAUUUUUUGACCUUGAAAAUUCCAGUUCAUUAGAAUGGAUGAAAACCCAUAAUUGUGAGCUUUCUGAGUUGAAAUCAGCAAGCUGUAAAACCAUCUGCAAAGUUGAUGUGAGAGCAAAAAGCAGGAAAAUUAAGUCAGAUAAGCUUAUUGAUUUGCAGCUACUGACUUUAGAUUUUGAGAGGUUUUCAGAUCAAAAUCUAACUACAUGCUCUUCAAAAUUCCUUGGAAGCCAGAAUUUUGGUUCCAUAUUGCCCAUUACUAAGAAAUUGGAUGUUUGUAGGGAGCUGAGACGCACCUCUUCAUUCCUUAUACCUCCACAUGGUGCAAAUAGAGGCAAAUGCUUAUACCUCCACAUGCUUGUCUCCUUUCAUGACUAAGAAAUCAAGCAAGCUCUCAUAUACUUUCAUGUCUCCAAAAAAUACAAUAAAUGUUUCAUUCUCCUCCCCUUCAGCAUUUGGAGAUUCACACAAAUCUGUUAGCACACAGGUAUAUAGAUAUUUUCUUGUCCUUUAUAUUUUCCUUACUAAAGCUUAUUUAAUUUUUGUUUAAAAUAUGUUGUUGGAUGUCCUCGUAUAGAUUCAUAAUCUGGUUUAAAAAAUAGACCAGAUGGUAAUGUUAGUUGCCUUUAAAGAAUUCCACCAACUGUUCAUCUAAUAGUUACAUAAUUUGAUAAUGUUUGUCAUCUAUGUCCAUGCCUCAUAUAGAUUCAUAAUCUGGUUUAAAAAAUAGACCAGUUGGUAAUGUUAGUGCCUUUAAAGAGUUCCACCAAUGGUUCAUCUAAUAGUUACAUAAUUUGAUAAUGUUUGUCAUCUAUGUCCACGUAAUUGAUAGGUUAACUGCUCAUCUGAAAAUUCUUGGCCAAUAAAGACACCACCAUCAAAAGUACCAAAUUUCUCUAUUAAGUUGGGGAAACCAGAAAAAGAAGUGUCGCUUGCCAAGCAUCAUCCUAACACAAAAACUGCCUAUUCUAUAGAUGAACGUGCCAGUCCACAUUCUUUUGUUGAAGCAGUAUCUGCAAAGACUCCCAUCAAAGAUGGAUGUCAAGAUGUUGAAAUGUUGGAUCAAGAGUUGCACUAUUAUUCUACCGAAAGCCCCCAAAACAAAGCAGACAAUGAACACAAUUUUCGUCUUGCAGAGGUGUGUUAUUUUCCUAAAAUACUAAAAAGGAAAAGGACUCUUGAUGCUUUCAGCCCCUCCAUUUGUUACAAUCAAAAUAUUAGAUGAUUUUCAUUUUAAUAUUGGGUGAAUGAGCCUCCAGGCCCAAAGAUAGGUGAUUUUCAUUUUGUGCAGAUGAGGCUCUAGGUAGGCCACACUUAUCAGGUGAAAUUUGUUAUGGUGGAUAUUUGGCUUUUUGUUUUCGUUAUAUGCAGUUAUAUGUAGAAGAAUAUCUUAGAAAAUUGUCUAAAGGGUUGGCUUCCAAUUUUUUAUAGUUCUUGAGCACUGUGAAUUCUUAAUUUCAACUUUUUGCUAGUUAGUUUAUAAGUUUGUUGUAUUUACUAUUAAUAUUUAUAGAUAUUGAACUUAAGUGAUGAUUAUGGGGAAGUCUUUCAGGAUUAAUCCAGGUUAAUUCAUGCAUAUUUUUAUUUCUUUUCCUGGCUAAAGAGCAGACCCUGAUGCAUUUUAUCUUUUACAGAACUAUCAGAAUAGUGACAAGAAAAUUGAGAGUGUGUCAUAGACGAGUUGUCCCCAUAAUUAUCAGAAGCAAAUGCACAAGAAAAGCCUGUUGCAAGAUUUACAAGCUGAAGAGAAUAGAAAAAUUUCGAGGUACAAGGAUGACUAUAAGAAGUCUCCAUUUACUAAAUGUUUACGAGGCAUGAACAAUUUAGCAAGAGCUGCUACCGUACGAGCAGACAUCCUAGCUAGAAGAAGGGGGAUUACCUCUUGUGGGAAAUAGUCCUGCUUAUUCACAGUCUACUUCUACAUUUCAUUUUCUCCCUUACCAGAUUCAAAAUGUGCAAGGUAAAAAAGCUAGGAUAGAAUUCUGAGAGGUGAGACUGGUAAUGAAAAUGGCGCUUCUCCCCAAGUUUACCAUGAGACAGACCUAUGUGUUUCUUCCAUAAAAAGAUAUGAUAGAGAAGAUCCAGUAGUCAUUCCCAGUGUAUGGAGAGAUAGAAAUCCGUCUGUUCCUCAAACUCUAGGGAAGGAUCCUAUGCAUAAUUUCUGCAAUAUUGCUAUGCCUAUAGCACAUAAUGGGUCAGUAAUAAUAAGUGCUUCAGCAGGUCUUCCAAGAGAUGAGGCACAACAAAGCAACUCCAUAAUUAGAGAAUCAAAUCCAAAGUUGUCUGAAAGACUAUUCAAUAAUAUCUCCCCUAGCUCAUCAAGAAAAAAAUAUUUUGUUUAUGGAUUUAUUCCAGGGAAGGUCCUUUUGCAAAACAUUGCCAAUAUUUCUGCCCCCUAAGUGGGGCCAGUUAUGACACAUGUGUCAACAGAGAUUGACAGGGAGGAAGAUAGACAGAACAACACUACAAGUAGUGAAUAUAAUCCAAAAUUGCUUUGUUGAUCCUUUCAAGAAGCAAUCCUUUGAGAAAAACGUGGCAGAGUCUUCAGACAGAAUGCAAGCACAGAGAAUACAACAUGAUGUUAUGAACCAUCUUUCUGGACAAAUGAAUUUUGCUGAGAAGGUUCCUAAUAACAGGAACAACAUAGAUUAUUUGUUAAAGUUAAAUUUGAUUAAGUCUUGCAUAUUAGAGACUGAAGAUGGACCUACUGAAAAGGUCGGAGAGAGUCAAACUAGACACCAGGGACAAUUAAAGACCCCUCUGAGAGGGAAGGCUAAAGAAAAGGCAGUGGAAGUUGCCAAGAAAAAAACAUUUGUUCAAUGGAAUGACAAGGAGAACAGGAAUAACACAGGUAACUUAUUAGAUUUAAAUUGGAUCAACUCUUACAUAUUGGAGAUUGAAGAUGGAUGUAUUAAAAGGGUGGAAGGCAGAAAAGACACCAAGAACAGUUUAAGAGUCAAGACUUCUUUGAGAGGGAAUCCUGAAGAAAAGGCAAUGAAAGUGGCUAAGAAAAUGGCCAUUGUUCAAUGUUGGAAAGAGACCUUAAAUUCAAAAAGGGGAAUCACCACAGUAAAUUAGCUCCGUUUCAAAGGGAAUUACUGCAACUUUUGGCUUCUCUCUUCUAACAGCACUAGCAGUGAUUGAAAACUGUGUUGCCAAUUUAUAUGAUUUGGAUCUUUUAAAGAUGUAAGUAUUCUUUUGGAACACAAGUCACUUAUUCUUUUAAACUCCAUUGUAAUUGACUCAAUACUUGAGGUUUGUCUUUUACACAUCUUACUUAUUCCUUUGAGUUCCAGUGUAAUUAUCUCAAUUGACCAUUAAUUGAGACUCGUCUUACUAACACAUCUUAUUUAUUCCUUUAAACUCCUAUAGUAGUCAUCUCAGUUGUUCAUUACAUAAAGACAAAUGUUUUUAUAUCUAUAUUAUAUU